rnacentral:rRNA from 1 species
AGUGAACGCUGGCGGUAGGCCUAACACAUGCAAGUCGAACGGCAGCACAGUAAGAGCUUGCUCUUACGGGUGGCGAGUGGCGGACGGGUGAGGAAUACAUCGGAAUCUACUUUUUCGUGGGGGAUAACGUAGGGAAACUUACGCUAAUACCGCAUACGACCUACGGGUGAAAGCAGGGGAUCUUCGGACCUUGCGCGAUUGAAUGAGCCGAUGUCGGAUUAGCUAGUUGGCGGGGUAAAGGCCCACCAAGGCGACGAUCCGUAGCUGGUCUGAGAGGAUGAUCAGCCACACUGGAACUGAGACACGGUCCAGACUCCUUCGGGAGGCAGCAGUGGGGAAUAUUGGACAAAGGGCGCAAGCCUGAUCCAGCCAUACCGCGUGGGUGAAGAAGGCCUUCGGGUUGUAAAGCCCUUUUGUUGGGAAAGAAAAGCAGCAGGUUAAUACCCCGCUGUUCUGACGGUACCCAAAGAAUAAGCACCGGCUAACUUCGUG